rfam:Brachypodium distachyon strain Bd21 chromosome 1, whole genome shotgun sequence.
GACAUACUCCCUCCGUCCAACAAAUUGUCUCAAGUUUGUCAAAAUUUGGAUGUAUCACAUGACUUAGUGUAUAGAUGCAUUCAAAUUUAGUCAAAGUUGAGACAUCUUUUAUUUGACGGAGGAAGUAGAUU